AUGACCAUCCACAGGGCUUUGCUCCUUGCCAUCCUGGGUUGCAUCUGCCUAUGCGGAACUGUCAUUGCAACUCGUGAGCUGAACAAUGAAUUGUCGGUGGUGGUGAAGCAUGUGAAAUGGAUGGUGCAGUACGGCCGCGUGUACAAGGACGCCACAGAGAAGGCGCGCCGGUUCAAGGUUUUCAAAGCCAGCGUUGAAUGCAUUGAAAGUUCAGCCCUGACUCACAUGUUCUGGCUCGGCGUCAACCAAUUCGCUGAUAUCACCAAUGAUGAGUUCAGGACAACCAACACAAACAAGGGGUUCAAAGAAAACUCCAUGAUAGUUCUUUCUUCAGGAUUCAAGUAUGAUAAUUUGUGUUUUGAUGCCCUUCCAGCAACGAUGGACUGGAGGGCCAAGGGAGCUAUCACCCCUAUCAAGGAUCAAGGCUAGUGCAGCUAUUGUUGGGCAUUUUCUGUUGUUGCCGCGACAGAGGGUAUUGUAAAACUGAAAAGACGCAAGUUAAUCUCACUGUCGGAGCAAGAGUUGGUUGACUGUGAUAUUCAUGCUGAAGAUCAAGGCUGCGAGGGAGGACUCAUGGAUGAUGCCUUGAAAUUCAUUAUCAAGAACUGAGGUCUUACCAUGGAGUCCAGCUACACAUAUAAUGCAACUGAUGGCAAGUGCAAGGCUGGAUCCAAUAGUGCUGCAACCAGCACCGGCUUUGAGGAUGUGCCUGCCAAUAAUGAGGGUGCCCUUAUGAUGGCAGUUGCAAACCACCCAGUGUCUGUAGCUGUCGACGAAGACGACAUGACAUUCCAAUUCUACUCAGGUGAGGUGAUGACUAGCUCAUGCAUCACUGAUUUGGACCAUGGAAUUGCAGCCAUUGGAUAUGGAAAGACUAGUGAUGUCACAAGUUAUUGGUUAAUGAAGAAUUCAUGGGGCACAACUUGGGGCGAAGAUGGGUAACUGAGAAUGCAGAAGGACAUUGCAGACAAGAAGGGCAUGUGUGGUCUUGCCAUGGAGCCUUCGUACCCCACCAAAUAG
rnacentral:rRNA from 1 species